AGGACGAACGCUGGCGGCAUGCCUAACACAUGCAAGUCGAACGGGAUGGAGCCUUCGGGCUCCGGCGAGUGGCGAACGGUGAGUAACACGUGGUAACCUACCUUUCACGUGGGGACAACCGAGGAAACUUCGGCUAAUACCGCAUGAUGUGCGAUGCCAUGAGGUGUCGUACCAAAACUCCGGUGGUGAAAGAGUGGGCCCGCGGCGGAUUAGCGUAGUUGGUGGGGUAAUGGCCUACCGAAGGCGACGAGUCCGUAGCUGGUCUGAGAGGACGAUCAGCCACGACUGGGACUGAGACGACGGCCCAGACGUCCUACGGGAGCAGGCAGUGGGAAUCGUUGCGCAAGUGGGACGAAAGCCUAGACG
rnacentral:rRNA from 1 species